GAUGAAGAACGUAGCGAAAUGCGAUACGUAAUGUGAAUUGCAGAAUUCAGUGAAUCAUCGAAUCUUUGAACGCAUAUUGCGCUCUCUGGUAUUCCGGAGAGCAUGCUUGUUUGAGUAUCAGUAAACACCUCAACUCCCUUUUCUUUUUUGAAAUUGGAGCUGGACUUGAGUGAUCCCAACGCUUUCUUCCAAGAAAGUGUCGGGUUGCUUGAAAUGCAGGUGCAGCUGAACUUUUCUCUGAGCUAUAAGCAUAUCUAUUUAGUCUGCCUAAAAAACAGAUUAUUACCUUUGCUGCAGCUAACAUAAAGGAGACUAGUUCUUGUGCUGACUGAUGCAGGAUUCACAGAGACAGCUUCGGCUGACUUUGUAAACUCGAUCUCAAAUCAAGUAAGACUACCCGCUGAACUUAAGCAUAUCAAUAAGCGGAGGA
rnacentral:misc_RNA from 1 species